UCGAAAGAAAAUACAAACUUCCAACAAUCUAGACUGAUUUCUGAAAACAAAUAUUUGUAUCAAAACAUCACAUACAUAUCUAGAAAGAACUAUAAGCAUUAUUUUUAAAAAUUUCGAGUAAAUAUACUACUAGCUGGAUUUAAUCUCCAACACUACACCACUAAUGCUUCCAGGUAGUUAUUCGAGGCCAAGUAAUUCCUGCUAAAAACUUCAAUCUCCAGCUGAGUGCCAACCUGUAUAGAAUCCAAAACAUAUACAAAAUUAUAGUAAGUAAUAACAGCCAGCCCCCAAAUGAAUCUAGAGAGUAAUGAUAUAGUUGCUUUUCCAAGCAAUUUUUAAGCAACGGAUGUAGACAUCAUUUCUUAUUCAUCAAGUACUACAAAAAAUCAAGUUUAUAUACACUGAUAGGGCUUGGUCUAUCAAAACAGAUGGUUCAUACAAUACAGUAUGGUUCAUACACUACAGGAUGGUUCAUACAAUACAAUGUACUGUAGUUUCUAGUUAGAAAACCAGAAAAAGUAAUACUGGAGGCAUAGUUUCUUCACCAAUUAAAGUUAAUUCCUAUCAAACUUGGUUUUUUCAUGUAAAAUAAAAAACACUUAAAAGCAAAACCUUUUUAGGCAAUUAAAUGAUCCACCUAGUGAUCUCAUUAUUUUAACAGUAGAAUUCUUUCACGAGCAUGAGAGAACUUCAGUUAACCACUUUCGGACAAGGGAAAAGCUUGGGAACAGCCUACUGAUCCAACACAGGCGUCCGUCGCCUCCGGCACGUGACGCGUGUCCCAUAUGUGGCUCGCACACCACACUAUUCUAACAUCUUUGUUGUGAUUUUUUUUGCAACAUCACUUGUGUUGCAAAAGUCCCUUCCCCAACAAAACCUAUGUCGCAAAAAAGGGAGACGCAAUUUUUUUCUGCAACAAGACCUCUACUGCAAAAGAAAUUAUGCAAGAAGACCUAUGUUACAAAAAAAAGAUCUGACAGAUCGCUACUCGAUGGAUCUUUUUAAAAGAUCUGCCGACCAAUGCGUAGCACAUUCCUUAGAACAAAGAUGAACCUAAUGGUUCAAAUUUAGUCUAAUGCUUUCAGACCAAACCUUCACAUCUAGAUUAACCACACCUAGGAAUUGUGAAGAACAGUAAAAUAUGUUGGAAUAAAAAAAGCAUGCAUUCUCCCAUUUACUGAUUAGCCUUCAUGGCAUAAAAGGUACAUAAUUAUCUCCGCCCACACUUCCAUAUGAGAUGAGAUACAAGGCACACAAUUAUCUCUGUCGAAAAAAGUUCAGAGUUCAUACCUCAAAGUUCAUAAAUCACAAAGGGAUGCUAGUUUACAAUUGACAUGAAUUAGCAUUCUGAGCUUCCCAGUUAAGUUCCCAAUUAAGCAUGUUCAGGACAUAUGAGACAAUGAUGGUACACUGAAUUAACUUUACAUGUCAUAUAGUAAUAAAUGCAUAGUUAUUAGCAUAAGAUUAAGCUGUCCAAUAGCAUGCAAGUGCAGGUGCAGAGAUAGCACACACGACG
rnacentral:lncRNA from 1 species